CCGAAGCGGUUGCCGGCUCGACAGAGCCGCGCGCCCAACCCACCCCUGUGCAACGUACCGUACCCUGGUGGUGUCGCGCGAUGGGCUGCCGCCCUGAAGCCGCCCACCGAAGGGCCGCCUCGACCGGGCGCGCCCGACCAACUCGUCUAACCAAAGUCUGAACCGAACGAAAACCUGAUGCGAAAA
rnacentral:misc_RNA from 1 species